AAGAUAAAAUAUUUAUAAUAUAUUAAUUUUAUUAAUUUAUAAUUUUAUUAUAUAUAAUACAUUUCUGAGUCUUCAAAUCUUUUUCAUACUACGACAUGUAAAAUUGCAAAAUAAAACUCCGUCCUGAAUUCUGACAAGAAUUAUGGAUCAUCUAAAGAGAACUUAAACAUUGUACUCUGAUUCUCGGAUCAAGUUCGGUCUUUCGAAUUUCUCUAUAAUUUAGUCCCUGUAUAUUAAUCUUCUACGCCUUAAAUCAUUAGGCUUAAAGUCUAUGUCUGAAUUUACAUCUAAAGCUAAAAUUGUGAAAUCAAUUCGAAGACGCCUCGAGAUUAAAUCGGCCAAUAUAUAGUGACUGCGAAUUACGGAAAUAAUUGUUACUUUAUAAGCUUCAUUAGUAAAAUAGAAUGUAUUGUAAAAUUAUAUGUAUUAGCUAAUAGAAAUAAUAAUAUUAGAGAUACAUACUUAUGAUGAAAUGCGAAACGUCUUAUUGUAGCUACGUGGGAUAUGCGCAAUAACUUGGGCUACGAUAGUGUACCUUUACGAGGUCAGAUAUCUUGAUGCAUGGACGAAGGGCGUCGCGAUUUCGUUGGAGACGCUUAUCGCUAUCGGCGGCGUCCUCAUUAUUUUCGCCCUUUGCAGUGGCGGAUACGGCAUACUGUUUUUCGACAGUGCCAAAUUCAGAAAUCGAUGCACCUAUAUUUCCCGCACGACUGUUACGGUGAGCUUUUCCGCGUAUUAUCCAACGUUAACUUUUUACGCGACACGAAGUUUAAUUCUUUCGCUCUUAUCAGUCUUAUCGCGUGAGAACGAGCUUGUUCGGUCGAUUCCUUACAAUACGCGAUAUUCGUAUCUGCUAUAGAUUCGCGGAAGGUUUAGACAGCGGUGGUUUAAUAUCGUAGUUUUAUUAACUGAAAAGUUGAUUGAAGCGAUUAACGGCGCUGCUUCCGGCAGUUCACAUCUCUAUUCUUGAUUAUGCUGAUUGUACAAUCAGCCGUCGCAAUCUACAUGCUUGUCCUGGUACCGAGGGCCGCUACCGAUUUUAAAGAAGCCUUCAAGAAUUACGGUUACCGAUGUGAGGACACGAAGUUCGUAGAUGAUAUUCAGGACAGAGCAGUUGCUGCAAUAAUUCUUGGGGAGUGUGUACUGCGGAGGAUGUAGGAUUUAGACCCGGUUGCGCAUUUAGACUAAAUACUUCUAGAUUGAUACACCAAGUCUACCUAAUGAGCAUUUUCAUCUUGACUGUCACUGUAACUGUGUUGAUCGGUUUCCUCUUCACAUUGUAUCUGACGAAUUCUAUAAAGGAAAAAAAUGCAGUGAAGCGUCAAGAGACAUACACGUUAUUACACGGGAAUAAUGCUAACAAAAUAUUUCCAGCCAGCUCUUAAUGUUUUUCAAUUCUUUCAGGAGGUAUCUAACGCAGAGUUUGAAGUAGGAAAAAUAAAUAUUAUCGAACUUUUA